rnacentral:lncRNA from 1 species
GAAAAGAUAUGUAACUUAGGCUAAGGGAUUGUACUGUCAUGUGUAACUAAUUAAAACAAAUUAAAAAAAAAAGCACUAAGAGAGUUGGAGAGUUGGUGUCACCAGGUUUGUGGAGUCUGUAGGCUACAAUGGGAUGCAUGUCCUGAUCUGCCAGAGACAGGAACAAUAAAGAGGCUGCGUUACAAGGGCAUUGAUUCUACUGACAGUAGAGCAAAUGUGAGUUUUUUAAUGUUACCACAUGGAGGGAUCCUCCAAGAGGACCACAUGGAGGGAGCCACACACCAGGCUGUUGGAUGACUGAGAAAGAAACAGAUGACAGCUAGUGCUGGGAGUGAUACCAUCUCUUCAAAGGACAAUUGGAGUUUCCCAGUGGGAAAUUCGCCCAGAACCUGAAAAAGGAUAAUGCAGACAAAGGUAUCUGCCAAACUUGGAGGACGCCUUCAAAGCUAGACAGCACUAUUCCCUAAAAUCAUACCCGAUCUCCUUUAAUCUUUCCAUUUCUUGGCCAGACCAUGAAUGGGUUAGAAACUAUGUUGUGACACAAGGAGGAAGCAGAAGAGAAAAUCAAGUUGGGGAAAGAAGAGGUUCACCUCAACUCAAACAGAAUCUUUCAGGCCAGAAGCAAAUGCAAGCCUGAGAAAUGCAGAUUGUGCUUAAGUUAAAUGAACAUGCUCAGUUGAAGGAGUAAGUGGGUGCUCUUUCAAGGGUACAUUGUAGAUGUUUACUUAUUGAAUGAGGGAUUGGGUAAAGAAUAUCAUAUCACAGGCAAAGAGAAAUAAUAUGAAAAAUAUUACAUGCAAGUGGUAUUUAGGUCAAAACUCCAGCUUCAGGGUCAGGUGUGCUUGGACUCCACCCCACGUUUGUGCACCACCUCCUGCUUACUCCCCUCCAAACAGCCUCUCAAAAACUACUUCUUCAGGCUCACCCCAUAGGGCUGGAAUAUGGAUUAAAUGUUAGAUUGGCUAUGAAGUAACAUUCUCACACAAACAAAUGUAUUUAAAACUCAUGAUUAUUUUACUUAGAGAAGAUACAAUAUGGUUUUCUGCCUUUUCUGGUAAACAUUACGGAAAUUUUUGUUUAUAAAAUAAAUGUACCAAUUUAUUUCCCAGGAGUAUAUUUAUUUUAUCUUAUUCUCUUGUAUUUGCUUUUUUAGGAUCAGAGUUUUAACUAUUACAUAUUACGUUGGUAAAAU